rnacentral:lncRNA from 1 species
GGUUAGUCUGGAAAGGAAGGCUGGGUGCAGCAAAUGAAGAGGGCACGCGGGUUUCUGGGUGUUGACAAGGUUCUAGCUGAGUGGCACAUCAAAAGCCGUACCUUUUGGGGUUGCACACUCUGAGGGUUGGCAAGAGAAAGGGGACAGGUCAGAAGAGAAAGGUGAAGAGGAGAGCGCCCUAAUGGAGAAGAGCUCCGUGCGGAUGGCAAAGUGUGGACCGCCGGCGCGGCGCGCGCAGCGCUUCCCGAAUACAAGAGGAGGCAAGUUAACUCCCUGGCCAUAGGAUGAGAGAGCAGUGCAGGCUAGAGAUGGCAAGGGAGAUGUCUGCAGUGCUGUCCUUCAUCACUAUGAACAACCAGUGCUACAGAGUUCAGACAGGUCAGACCGUCGGUCCGUGCCCUGUAAGAAAGGUGGUGAAUGGCCAAGGCCUUACCCGGAACUGUGAGCACGGGUAUGAGAAGAGGUGCACUUUGCCGAAGUCAUCGCCUGUGCACAAGAGCUUUCUCUCGUGAGCCCGGCAGACGGCGUUGAUGUCUGUCCCAUCGGAGCCCUCCGGCCACACUCCUGGAACAGAGCACAGAGGCACUGGAAACUUCAGAGCCACAGCACACAAACGCUGGUCACCAAAGGGGACAGAAAUCCACCUUCAGUCUGGGCUUUAGAAUGGAGAGCCGGGCGGGCGACCACUCGUUUCCAGCUCCCGCCUCUCUCUAGCUCUGGGUUGCAGGGCACCCAGGGUCAGCCCUGAGAAGCCCUGCAUCUCUUCUAACAGCUGUGCUAAGUCACACAGCCCCGGCAGUGUCCUGAGCUGCCUGCAUCCACUGGACCCUUCUGGGUGCAGCGGCAGGCACCACGGCCCUGCUUAUAAACUGAUGUCUUUCCACUGUAAGUCCUGUAAGUGCAGGGUACCUGGAGAAUAGGGGCACUGUGUCCUGGGAGAGGCUUUUGGUUGAGAGCAUUGUAUAUUAGAGGCCUGAGUACACACCAGCUCCUUAGUAGGCAGAACAGCAGGAAAUAGGGAAACGCCACACUGAGAGGACUUAGGAAUUCCUACCAGCCGACUGACUCCCAAUUGCUCCGACUGUAGCAACGCAUUGUGAGCUAUUUAUGAAUGUAUUCCUAAGAUGAGCUUUGAAAGAAGUGAACGUUUUAGGCGGUAGGUAAGUAAGUCAAGUGUCAUGUGUUCCUGUGGGUAUAACAUCAUCCACAUAACCACUAGGGGGCGCUGUCCUGUGCCUCGGGAAGAGUUAAUUACCCCCUCAGCCUGAGCCUGGGAGCUGAGGAGAUUGUGAAUCAUGGCCCCAGGUGGGAACAGAACAGAUGGACAAGACUGAAAGUGGUGGGAACAAGGUUCGAGUCCCGGCACCUCCGUGGCAGCUCACAACUAUGGGUAACUCUAGUGCCAGUGGGGAUCUGAUGCCCUCUUUGGUUUCCACAGGCACUGCAGUUUCACAAAAGCAAAAUGUUCAUACCAAUAAACAAUUAAAAAUAAACCC